rnacentral:rRNA from 1 species
CUGAGUUUACGCUCUAUAACCCUUUGUGAACAUACCUAUAACUGUUGCUUCGGCGGGUAGGGUCUCCGCGACCCUCCCGGCCUCCCGCCUCCGGGCGGGUCGGCGCCCGCCGGAGGAUAACCAAACUCUGAUUUAACGACGUUUCUUCUGAGUGGUACAAGCAAAUAAUCAAAACUUUUAACAACGGAUCUCUUGGUUCUGGCAUCGAUGAAGAACGCAGCGAAAUGCGAUAAGUAUGUGAAUUGCAGAAUUCAGUGAAUCAUCAAUCUUUGAACGCACAUUGCGCCCGCCAGCAUUCUGGCGGGCAUGCCUGUUCGAGCGUCAUUUCACCCUCAAGCUCUGCUUGGUGUUGGGGCCCUACAGCUGAUGUAGGCCCUCAAAGGUAGUGGCGGACCCUCCCGGAGCCUCCUUUGCGUAUAACUUUACGUCUCGCACUGGGAUCCGGAGGGACUCUUGCCGUAAAACCCCCCAAUUCUCCAAAGG